GGACGGGUGAGUAACACGUAGGCAACCUGCCCGUAAUACCGGGAAAACCUGGGGAAACCGAGGCUAAGCCCGGAUAGGCUCCUUUACCGCAUGGGAGAGGAGGGAAAGGGUGCGACCCGAUUACGGAGGGGCCUGCGGCGCAUUAGCUAGUUGGUGAGGUAACGGCCCACCAAGGCGAUGAUGCGUAGCCGACCUGAGAGGGUGACCGGCCACACUGGGACUGAGAGACGGCCCAGACUCCUACGGGAGGCAGCAGUAGGGAAUCUUCGGCAAUGGGCGAAAGCCUGACCGAGCAACGCCGCGUGAGUGAGGAAGGCCUUCGGGUUGUAAAACUCUGUUGUUUGGGAAGAAGGGAAAGGGUAGGCCCCUUAGGUGACGGUACCAAACGAGAAAGCCCCGGCUAACUACGUGCCAGCAGCCGCGGUAAUACGUAGGGGGCGAGCGUUGUCCGGAAUGAUUGGGCGUAAAGCGCGCGCAGGCGGUCCUUUAAGUCUGAUGUGAAAGCCCGCGGCUUAACCGCGGAAGGUCAUUGGAAACUGGGGGACUUGAGGCUAGGAGAGGGAAGUGGAAUUCCUGGUGUAGCGGUGAAAUGCGUAGAGAUCAGGAGGAAUACCGAUGGCGAAGGCAGCUUUCUGGCCUAGAACUGACGCUGAGGCGCGAAAGCGUGGGGAGCAAACAGGAUUAGAUACCCUGGUAGUCCACGCCGUAAACGAUGAGUGCUAGGUGUGAGGGGUUUCAAGGCCCUUCGUGCCGCAGUACACACAAUAAGCACUCCGCCUGGGGAGUACGGUCGCAAGACUGAAACUCAAAGGAAUUGACGGGGGCCCGCACAAGCGGUGGAGCAUGUGGUUUAAUUCGAAGCAACGCGAAGAACCUUACCAGGGCUGACAUCCCUCUGACGGGAGUAGAGAUACUUCGUCCCUUCGGGGCAGAGGAGACAGGUGGUGCAUGGUUGUCGUCAGCUCGUGUCGUGAGAUGUUGGGUUAAGUCCCGCAACGAGCG
rnacentral:rRNA from 1 species